GUUCUUUACAAAGAAAGCUGCCUAUUUUUCUUUUCUCCAGGGGAACUGCCGUGUAGGACAGGCACAAAGCUGGGAACAUAACCAAGGGCAGAAAAAAAUUCACCCCCGUGUUCUAUUUGUCAAACUGACCUGCGGGUCACAACCUGAGAGUUUAUGGAUCUGUGAGGCCUUGUCUCUGCAUAAGCGUGUUUUCUGGACUUUGGCUGAAGCUAAAUUCCUCACUUCUGAAAGAGGAGUGGGUGUGGACUUCCAGCAGGAAUAGCCAGUGGGAAGGAAGUAAUAUUCAUUAAGAGUGUCUCAUGCAAGCAGUGCGGGGCUAAGCAUGCUCAGUGUAAAUUCUCCUGUAGCCUGUCAAGCUAUGUUUGAACUCGUUCCAGAUUCCUGGAUUUACUUUUUUUUUCUACCAGGAAGAAUGCUCGAUUAGACUGCAUUUUGCUCUGCUUUUCUUUUUCUUUCUUUCUUUCUUCCCUUUCUUUUUCUUUUUCUCUCUUUCUUUCCGCCAGAAGAUUGGAAACAAUAUUCUUUUCCGAUCAGUUCAGUAAUACAAUGUCCUUCAGUGUCCACAUGAGCGUUUCAGUGAAGAAGAAAAGAAACUUUGCUACCUGGGAACUGAAGACUACUUAGAUCAGUGAAUGCUAAUAAAGUCCUUAAGGACUUGCGGAGCCAGGAGUUAACUUUUCUCAACUAUUAAGUGAAGAUGCUGGUGUUCCACAUCCAAUUGCUCUCGUCUUUCCAAGACUGUGGCACUCCAGGAAAUCUUCCCUACUGAAGGGGGACCACGAGCUACAGUAUCUCUUAGAUGAAAUCAACCGCAUUGCAAACUAAAAGGAAGAAAAGUAACAAAGAACUUGAAGACUUUCAUGACUCCCAGGCCCUGGAUGGAGGCAGGCGGCACCAGACAGACAGAACCAAGAAAUCAGAGGGGCAGCCAGGAGGUGCCUGUGGCUGCAGAGCCCAGAAUUGUCUUUGGAAAAGAUUGAGAAGAGCCAGUAAACUUGGCUUCCUAACUUCUGCUUCUCAUACACGGGCGAAUGGUUUGAAGAUAUUGGCCUAGCAAGAUGGCAACGGGUUUAAAAAAUUCAUAAGAUUCAUAGGAUUCAUAAGAAGUUACUUUUUUCAGACAUGUCAAACCCCCAAACGAGAGAAGAUACUGAGGCCUGUUGCCACAAACCCGUAGAUCCGAACUUGUGGUGAUAGUCCACACAAGCUUGUGUCUAUAGGUAUGUGUCUGUUAGGCAAUCUCACAGACCGCGGGCUUUGGCUGUAUGCCACUCAAUAUCCCUUCAAAUACCUUUAUUCUCCCUUUCUUCCCCUUAGUUUGCUUUAAGAGUGGUAGAAAUGGAAAGAGGGGCUGACAUGGAGGAAGGAGAACUUUUGAUCUGAAAUGGAUGAGGUUCUUCGAUGAUUAAUUUAUAGGCUUGCCUUCAACUUCCUUAUCUCUUAUAACUACUCUGAGCCGUCAAAUUAAGAGACUGGGCUUGCAGGUGAGGCGGCAAGAAUUUCUGUGACUCAGACAGCUUACUGUUGAGUGAUGAGUAAAUUGAUACAUAAACAAGGGUUUGUUUUGUUUUCUGUAAGCCUGACUAAUGGUUUUCAGAGUUAUUAUGAUCUUUUUUGGAAACUGACAGAGACGUGUUUUCAAGACCUGUUUCACCCUAGUUUGAGUUAUACCUUACAGCAAUUCUUCCUCACUCAUUGCUCUCCAAGCGCAGUCAAAUCAGUCCUUAUCUUUAAAAAUAAAACUAAUGAGAGGAAUGAAUGUGCUUAACUAUUUAUCCUUCUAUAAAUACCCAGCACUGUAAGAAAAAGAACUUUUUAUAAAAAAGAAUUAGCCUGUUUAAGUCCAACUUCAUACUUGGCCAGGGCUGUUUUAUAAGUCUUCACCAUGUUUAAAAGGCUGGAAUGAAAAUAAUUUUAUCCCCUUGCCUCUUAAAUGUCACCAUUGUGCCAGGAUUGGAAAGCCAAACUGACUAGAGAUCAAAGCAAAACUGGCUGUAUUUGUCUCAUUCCAACAAUGUGAGCUGAAGAGUCUGUAAACAGAACCCAGGGUGAAAAGUUGAUCAGAUUUGGAUAACUCUUAAACUUUUGCAUUCCCUUUUGGUCAAACAUAGUGCCAGGAAUUCUCGUAAGAUUUUUUUUUUCUAUGCAGCCUCAUCUAGCAAAAAGAGUUCAAUAUGAAGUAGUUAUUGAGUUAACAUCAGCAAGAAGUUUGAAACUCAAGUAGAUACAUUUUAUUUCAUUAAAUUCUGUUUCCUCUUAAGAGCCAUGCUGUUCAGGGAUAGCUAGAACUCUUUCGUUCAUUGAGUAUAUAAAAUGCAAUUUUGUUUGUUGGAAUUAGCAAGGCCCAGAUAGAGAUCACCUACGUUUAAAGGGUAGAAUCAAGCUCUGUAGAUGCUGCACCCAGGGGAUAUUGUGUAUAUGCAUUUCCUUUGCGUUUCCCCUGCAUAGCGUUGAGGAGGGUUGUCUAUACAUCUCAACUUUCAGCUUGCCAAGAAAUCAUUGCUUUACUAUGGAAUGAUGGACCUUUACAUCCAGAAGAGAAAGACUGUCUCCACUGGUGUGUAUCAUGUAUUAUUGUUUGCCCAAGGCCUUUAUCCACCCAUUAAGCAAAUAAUCUACUUGGUUGGUUUGACAUGCCUCUUUGAAGUGGUUGACUUAGAAUGGAUAAGCUGCUAACAAAUUAAACUUGUACCUUCCCUGGAUAAACACUUGUGUUUGAUAAAAGCAAAAUCACGUCUCUACUCAUCAUCCCUUCAACCUGUUGUUAAGUGUGCUACCAGUGGGACCAAUGGAGUUCCUGAAUCUAAGGGGACACUGAGCUGCCUGUAUUCCCUGUACAGGGACAAAACAAGGGCUGCAGGAUGGCCAGUAGGUGACUGCCAGGUUGUUACUUUUAAAGAGGUUUUUUCUUUUAAAGAGGUUUUUUAAACCCAUCACCCCAAGCAAAAAGAUUAUGCAGAACAGUCAAUCUUUUCAAAGUUUCUAAAAGAACUAAGACGUUAUUAUUUGAUUCACCUGGCUAGAAAAUAUUCUAGUGGAAAGCCCAAAGCCUCUGGACCCUGGCCCACAAGAAACAGGAUAUUAAAUAUUUUACAUGAUGAUGAAAUUCAGUAUUUUUCCCUUCUUCCAUGUUCAUGAAUGAAUGGUUCUGUAGAUACUAAUUAUUCUCUUGAGGCUCCCUUCAGAGUGGACCACAUAUUCUACAGGAAGUUGCUGAAAGUAAAAUAAUUUCAGGUUUCCCCAGAAAGACUCUAAAAAUAUAUAUUCAAUAGUCAUUACUACAUUCGUUUUCCCUAGUUUUAUUAAAAUUCUCAAAUCACCACUAUCAAAAUACAUUUAUUAAGCUGUAACACCAGGAUAUAGUUUAGAUUUUUUUAAACAGAAAAAAAUAAUUCUGAUUCCAAGAAUUGUGUUCGAUAAAGCAAUUCAGCUCUCAUCACCAGAGUUUGGAGGGGAGAGAAGAGCUGAUAUUUAGUUUGAAAAGGUUUCUUGUUUGUAUUCCAAAAUUAACAAAUGGAUUUCUCUACAUGGGAAGAAAAUGGUCUGUGUAGGGUAGAAUUAACUUUGAAUUUUAAGUUAAUAUGAUUUCUUAUUUUUCGUUGUGCUUACCAAUCAUUCCCCAAGAUCUGUUAGGUCCUGUGGAUCCUUGUCUGCUGACUGUGGCAUUUAAUCUCACCAAAUGUUAUCAAGCCUCUCUAAUUACGAUUUUAAAAGCUUCUUAUGCCUGUAACAGCACUGAAAUUUCACAGAGAAGUCAAUAUGAGUGACUCUUCAAAAAAUGUCAAAGAUUUAUUAAUACCUAACAUGGUGCUCAAUAAAGUAUGAGUUGGAAUAAAGCCACUUUUUUCUUUCAGUGUAGCCAUAUGGCUGGAAAAAUUAUAAGUUUCAUUCACUCUCUCAUUCAUACAACAAACCUUUAUGACUCCUUACUGUGUGUUCAGUACUUUGCUAAAAGAGUGAAGAUAUAACUCUGACUUCCAAAAACUGAUUAUGUGGUCAUGAUGAGUCCCUUUGCAGAAUUGCAUGUCAAGCACACUGGCACGAAUUUUAAUGAAUCAUGUGUUUUAAUCAUAACAUUUGUCCAACUUCCCAAUGCCUAGUCAAUACAGAACAUGUUCCCUAACGGGGAGUCCCUGCUUUUCCUUUCUAUCAGACACUCAUAGCAUUGUUUGAGGUUCAUCCUCACUUCAUUUAGGGGGAUUGCUACUGGUAGCACUUAAAACCUCGAUGUUCAGUAGACUGAGGGUGUGUCUACUUGUAGUCAGAAUACCUUUGGAAUGUAUUUUUUAAAGUUAAAGAGUACAAUAGAUUCUCUAUACCUAAAGAUAUAUAACUAUAGUUCUUCUGUAAAUGCUACUUAAUUUAUUUUUUACUUCCUCUUUUCAAUAAGACUUUUUUGUGACAUCAUUCCAUAUCAUAAUUGCAUGUUGUUAUUACAUGCCUACAAAUAUUUACACUAAUUAUGUAAUGAGCCAUAAUUGCACUAAUACAUGAUAAUGGGGUAAAAUCAGUGUAAAUAAACAAGGAAAUUCACACAACCAAAAGAGCAGUGUAUUGAAAACCAUUAGUAUUCUAAUGGCAACAUCUUUUUAUCUUUGACCCCUAGAAGAAGAAUGUACAUGGAGAAAGAUGAAUUUUUCCAUUUCCAGAUAUUUAAAAGCUCUGUUAGCUAUACAUUUAGGCUAAUAUGCUAGCAGCCUAGCACACUGAAACUUAUCCUCUCUUUGUUGUAUUUUCUUUUGGCAACUCUUACCUGCCCCUCCACUGCCUUGUUUCCCAUUCAUAAGGGUUAUAUCCUGACUGUGUUUAUAGAAUCAGGCAAAUGGCCAAUGCAGGGAAAAUGAAAGAAAUUCAAGUGCAAAGGAAAGAAAAUGAAAUCUAUUUUCUUUUAGUGUCCCAGUGAAUAUUAAAUCUUAUACAUGAGUAUCUAGAGACAGAUGACUCACAGUGACUCCUUGAAUUUCCAUAUGAGAUCCAGGAUUUAAGGCAAACUUGCCAGGUUGAAUGCAGCCACUCUGCAAUUGUUUUCCCCUCUGGAAUCUUGAUAGCAAAUCUGCCUUACUAUGAUUGAAGUUACAAAGCAAGUGGAAGAAUAAGGGACCUGACAUACAAAUAAAAAUCACCUGGCCCUUCACUUUAGGUUCAUUAAUACUUCCACUUUAUCCAUUCAUUCAUAUAUAUUUUUAUUUCAUUCAACAAACAUAUUUUUAAGUCUCUACUGUGUGCCAGGUGGUAGGCUUGGAGGUGGUACCAGACUUGCAAAGAAGAGUAGCUCAGCCCCAUAUUCAAGUAGCUCAGGGACUAGUUAAGGAGACAGAUAAAUUACAAUGCAAUGGUGUUAGGGUUAAACUAGAAAUGUGUAUAUGAAAUUAUAAGACAAUCAGAAGAUUUCUUUGAAUUGAGGCUUGAAAGAUAAAUGGGAGUUAGCUUGGUAAAAUGAAUUUCCCAGACUUUCCCCCAAAGCAGGUCACAUUGAUCCAACAGAGAUAGCCUCCUCAAAAUAGCAGCCCCAUUCCGUAAAAGCUGCAUGAGGGAAUAGGGUGGUAAAAGUGGAAAAAUAGUCCUUCUCCAGGUUAGUAGAGUAGCAUGAAGAAACACCAACUCUGCAGCGUUUCUAUCUAUCUUUUGAACACAAUCAGCACCAUAGAAUUAUCACUCUUUGAUUCUCUAUGUGUGGAGACACUCCUCCAUCUCUAUAUGCCUAGGUCCAGCUCCUUUGUGGAACAGCCUUUACCAGACAAAACCAGAGUCCAGCUAAGCAAUGAGGAAAGGCUGCCGUCAAUAGACCACAGAGCAGUCCUCAUGGGAAAAUACAAACCGCACCAAACGUGAGUUCGCAUAGAGAUAGGAAGUCAUCAAGCUUGUGAGAAUCUGUCUGCUACUCCAUCAUCGACUGGAGCUAAAGAUAAAGGAAAGACCCCAUUUAAAAUUAAAAGUACAAACAGGGAAAUUUACCACAUUCCCUUAAAAGAAAAAAAUACAGGGUUACAUUUUUAUAUGUUGCUAAAUAAACUACUGGGGACAGACUUUGUGAAAAAGUGUUGAAACAGUCAACUCCAGAAGGAGGGCCACUUUAACAACAUGUGAACUAUGUAAUGUGUAUAAUAAAUACUGUUGCGUGAAUGUUGAACAUAGCUUCUAUAUUAUAUGUUUACCUUUACUUUGCUCAGAAUCCUGUUAUCUAUAUCUUUUCACUGUGUUUUGCCUUAAACAAUUUUCCCUUGUUUAUUGACCCUUCAGAGAUUCCAGUUUUACAGUUUCACAAGGGAAACAUUUGUUUUCCUAAUCCUUUUUUCAAUUCUCGAAGUUUACAUAUUGGUCUACUUUGUAUUCUGUCAACAGAUACCAGAAGGCAUUAGAUUGAGCAGAACAACCACCAUUAUAUAACAUUACCGUAAUUUUCAUGCACAAAUAAUUUCCUGGAGGCCAAUCCCAAGUAUUUCCUCCCUUCCUGUCUACACACUAAUUUCAAAUCAAGGUUCUUGUGUUAGUUUCUCUAUUGUCAGACCCUUUGAUGUGUGAUCUCUUGUGAAUGGCCCAAAUAGGUGACAGCACGAAGAAUAAUUAUAAGACUAACUUGCAAUUUCAUUGCUUAAGAAAUGGUAGCUUUCCAGCCAUUGUGACUGCAUGUUCCCAGGUUGAGGUAGUAGGUUGUAUAGUUUAGAAUUACAUCAAGGGAGAUAACUGUACAGCCUCCUAGCUUUCCUUGGGUCUUGCACAAAGCAACAUGCCAAGAAUGAUCAUGAUUCAUCCGGGCCUUUUUUUCCUAGGAAAGCGUAUGAAAGGUAAGAUUGGGUACUGGCAUUUUAGAAUUCAGGUUUUGUUUAAUUCUUGUACCCAUGUUGUAUUUUCAUGUUCUGUUUCUUUGGAUUUUGUGUUUUACCAAAAACAUGAGACUUUGAGAGAUUCCAUAUAUCAGUUACCCAUUGUCACAAUAAUGCUGCUUAACAAACACAAAACUUUAGUGGCAUACAUCAAUAAAUAUAUAUUUAGUUCAUGAGUCUAUGGAUCAGUGAUUUAGACUGGGCAGUUUUUCUCGUCUUGGUUGGUCUCAUUCAUUCUGGCUGUCAGCUGUCAGAUGGGGUGACUAGGAUGACUGGGGCAACUCAGUUCUAUUUCAUGUUUCACGUCCUCCAACAGGGUAGUUCCAGCACAUUCUCAUGGUUAAAACAGAGGGGAAAGAACAAGAACAAGCCAAAUGGCUUAAAUAUUUUGCAAGCUUCUGCCUGCUUUAUGUUUGCUAAUAUCUUGUUGGUCAAAGGAAGUCAGAUGACCAUGCCUGGAGCCAGAGAGGAAGAUGCUACAAAGUUUCUGGGCAAAGGGCAUGAAUCAGGAAAGCAAGACAAAUCGGGGCCGUUUUCGCAAUCACAUUGAACUUUCUUGGGUUUCAUCAAGUUGAAAGUAAUGUGUACCCUCCAUCCUCAGAAGCUCCCAAGAUCAAGAACCAUGUUUGUGAAUUCAUACUUUGGAAUUUAGGAUAAGCUGAUCUUUGUCUGAAUGCUAUUUAUGUCCCUGUUAACAAGAUAUACUCCAACCAACUUUUGUGGAAAAAUCGCCAAGAGACUGGAAUGGUAGUAAUGUGGGGAUUGAUUAUAUCAGAUUAUAAGGCUCAGUCAUUUCAUGGUGAUAGCCAAUGUCAUGAAUGAUAGACAUUUUGCCUGACUUAGACUGAACUCACACAAUCUACACAGAGCAUAUGAGCAGCAAACCAGCAUUAGAAUACAAAUCUGUUGGCUAGAAUGGGGUUGCUCCGAGCCCAGACACUUUUUCAAUAGAAAAUACAGACAGGUAGUCAGAAGGUACUUAAUGAAAUUAUUUAAUCCACUACAUUAUUUUUCUGGCAUUUUAAUAUACAACAUAGGUAAAAAAGAAUGGUUUUGCAGCCUUUCUUUCUGAGCUACCUUAAAAAAAAAAGACGAGAUCGCUGUGUCAUCAUUUUGAUUCCAUGCUCAAACAUUUUCAUGGUGCAUCAUAGUGAUUGUUACCUUACUAGGAAGUCAAGGAUGACUAGCCCCAGGUUGAUGAUGAAGCACAGCUAAAGGUUCAGUGUUUUAGGCCAUCCUGAAAGUUUACAGCAGAACUAGAAGCAAAGGUCUAAGGCUCCUGUAUGGUCUUCAUUUCUUGGCUUGUUCAUUUAUCCUUUAGAAGGGCCUGUGGCCUUGCUCUAGAAGACACUGUCAUUACUUUGUCACAUUUAUUAUGAGUUUGACAUGAAACACAGUUAUUACCUGUAUCUGUGUUGGAUAAGAGUUUGUGUAUUAAACAUCUGUAGCCACUUGACAUAUAAGGACCUACUUAGUACUGUUUAUACAUUUAUAUAGCUUUUUUAAAAAAAUUGAGUUAUCUUCUUGUACAAGACAAUAAAAUCCUCUCCUUUUCAGUAGCAUAAACUUAAGUGGUUUCAUGCAGCCAUGGUCCCUAAAGGUAAAGUAGUGUUUUGGGGUCCUGCUUCUGAAGACAAAGUAAGUUUCACAUAAUUGAGUGUCUACUGACUUGGUAGUCAGGUUGCAUCUGCUAGAGUUUAAACAGUGCCCUGUUUGCUUUCUGAAUGGCUAUGGUGUUUGGGAGGUCAUACUGUUGUGUUUUUCAGCCAAUAGCUCAUGGUAAGACAAAGAGUUUGGGAACUGCAAGGAAAAUAAAUUAUGUUGGAGGCCACUUUAGACACAUCUUAGUGUCAGUUUCAGCAGUAGUGGAUGGGUAAAGUAUUAUUCAAAAUGUUUCGCUUCUUAUGUCCAUCUUUGGUGAGUAUGAGCUCUGUUUCCUCAGGGAAACUCUUCACUGAAUUUUAUAUCUGACAAUCAUUCUUAGUCCCAGAGAUCCAAAAUACGCCGUUAAUACAAAUCACCACAGUAUCUUCUGGAAUUAAUCUUAGGAUUUAAAAAGAAAGAAAAAGAGUUGCAGAAUGCUGCAUUUUUUAAUAUCAUCAAGAAAUUAUAAUAUCUUUAUGGGUGAUGUAAAUGUUAUUUUAAUUUUCCAGAAUCUGGUAAUUUAAUCCAGCUAUUUUCCAGCACAUUGAUAAGCUUCAAAACCUAAAUGUGUCGCUGGCAUCUUGACCUUCUUCAUCAAUCACGGAAUGUUUUGCUGAUGCAAUUUAAGGAGACUCUGGCUAGUCAGAAUAGCGAGUCUACAAACUUUCUGGAAGACAGGUCAUUUGUACUUCUUUAUUUGCAUGCAUCAGACUCUUUUUGACUUGGUUUAUCAGUAUGACUAGUUAGAGACAUUUAACUAGUAUGUGAUAACGCAGUCAGUCUUCUUGUACUGGGUAAGUAUGCACUUCCAAAAACAUUCUUAUAACGGCAAACACUAGCCUCUUCAAAGUUGGCUUUGGCUCAUUAUCUUCUCUGACCUUUCUGAAGACCCACGGAGAAAUGAGUAAACCAAGCUUUUCUUACCUAUACCAAUAUAUAUUUUCUAAAUACUUAGUGCAAGCUUUGACUGCAAAUAGAAUAACACCUUACAUCAUUACUCUUCUUGUACCACUGUACUAUUUUCCCCUUAUCUCUUGCCCUCCAAAUUCUAACCCCACCAAAAUACUUGUUUUUCUGUUCUGAGUAAGGCCAAUCUCUGGUGGUCUUUAAUAGCCUAUUUUUCUAACAGUUAUACGUCCAAGUUCUAUUGAAAGCAUCUUUUAAAUAGUGUAUAUCAAACUUUAAUUGAUAUGAAUCUACAGGGAUCUUGUUAAAAUGCAGAUUCUGAUUCAGUGGGUCUGGAUGGGGCCUGAAAUUCUGCAUUUCUAACCAACUCUUAAGUGAGGCUGAUGUGGUAUAUGGAACACACUCUUAGGUAGUAAGGUUUUGCAUAAUCAAAUUCUUCUAAAUUCCAGGAUGUCCAGGCAUUUAAGCUGAGGGCAAGAAUUUGGCGACAGUUUCCCAUCUUUAGAUAAAAUCCUUCCUUUAGUUGUAGUCACACAGCUUAUCUUCUUAAAAUAUCUUAGUUCCUUUUCACUAAUACACUAAUACAUAAGACUCAGCACUAUGAAAGUUACAUUUUAGAAAUAGGGACAUUGUGACAUUGAAUAUAGUCCUAAAGAUCUUCAUAUCAUAGUAAUCAUUCACUCAAUAGAAGCAUCUUUGAAUAGCACAUGUAAAGAGAAUUCAACUGGGGACAUGAAUGCAAGUACCAAACCUGGUUCUGCAGUACUCAAAUCACUUAAACUUUCUGAAAAUCAGUGUCCAAAUAUGUAAAUCCAUGGGCUAGAACUGGAUAAUAGCUGAGGUAUUUUUAAUAUAGAAUAUUCUAGAAUUCUGGGAUUGUCAUUCAGGAAUCUUAGUGUCUAGGAGUUUUCUUCUUAGCCUCCAUAUCCUCCCGUCUUAUAACAUGAAAGAGGAUAUUCCCAAUUCUAUCUCUGGACUUCAAAAGAACAUGAGCAGAAUGGUAGGAGAUACAGCUUUUUUGUGGUCUGAGCAUCAAACUUGAGAGGAGGACAUUGCUGAGACUUAACAUUAAUUAAUAAUGUUUAUUCAUGUAAACCUGCAUCAAAUGGUAUUCUACAUGGAGGAAAAGCUGUGGAUGCUAAAAAAAGAGAACUGAAAACUAGUCUUUCAUGAACUCAGUUAUUGGACUGUUCCACUGGACCCAGAACAGAAUCUGCGUCUAACUGAAGUCUCACCUUUCCAUGUUUAUUUUGGAUGUGGUUGCAUUUGCUGUAUCUUAUAGCUCUUAAAUUCUGUCUUCAAGUUGACUUUAUGCAUUUUAUAUUCAACAUUUACUGAGUGCCAGUCAUAGUGCAAUGGGCCAGAGAUACAGAGCUGUAUCUCAGUCUCUUAACUACAAUCACAGUGCAACAUGUCCUGCAUAAGUUAUGCUUACAGUGCUGGAGGGUGCUGAGGAGGAAGAGACUGAGAUCAUCCAAAGGAGCCAAAGAAGACAGCUGAUCAGGAAUGUCUCCCCAGUGAAAGGACAAAGACUACAGAGACCGAUGCACUGAAGGACGCGCAAGCCAACUAUGAAGUUGAAACAAAGAAAGCCAUCACCUGAAGAAACCUCUCCUGCUAAGCAGCACACCCAAAUGGGACAGUUUCAGCCAACAGAACUCUCAGAACAAGAGGCAAUCUUUUCAAGAAACGGAAAAACUUAACAACAUCUAGAUUAGAUUUCUAAGGAGCCAAGGACUUUCCCUUCCUCGUGUGUAUUCCUCUGUUUGUAUUUAAAUUCGGUGUGACAUUCACUUUUUAAAAUUUUUCCUAGUAUGAACAUGCUUAUUAAUGCAGUGAUUUUAAAAUCAAAAAUGGCACAAAUGUGUUAAUGUUAUAACAAAAUUAAUGCUAUAAGUAGAUUGAUUUUUAGCCACACACAGAGUUUGAUCUUAAGAGUAACCUAGAGAAAAUAAAGUACUUUCGAAAUAACAACGGAGUCAGAGGCAAUCCAAAGGAUAAAAUAGCGGUGUAAAACACUCAUAAUGCAGCAUAGAAAUAUCAAAUUAUUCCACCUGACACCAACAAUCAACCAUUUUUUUAAUCAAGUAAGCUAGGUUCUGUGAGACAUCGUUACUACUUCUAGAGUUUAAAUCUAGUCAGACAGAGGUACAUAAACUUUUGAAAAGAUAAGUAACAAAUUGGGUCAAUAGACGAUAAGAGCAAAACCAAAACAAAAUAAAGGAUACAAACAAGGAGCUUAGAGGAGGUCACCAUGAGCUGGACAAAACUGGUCUGUUUAGGAAGAAAGUUCCCAAAGGAGGAAAAUAUAAGAUGAAUCUCAAAGGAUGUUAAAGAUUCAGAUAAAUGGAAAGGAAGGAGAAAACAGAGUCCUUCAGAUGGAUCAGUUUUGUGAGCAAAACCAUGGAAGAAGGAACCUGCUUGCUGAGUUUAGGAAUUAUGAAUACACACAUCUAGUUGACUUCACCUCAGACAUUCAAUGCCAACAUAUAUAUACAUAUAUGGUAAAGAAUUUGCACACACAUUUCCCCUCUCCCACUCCAGAUUUCACCUAGAAUUGUAAUUGCAUUUCUCUGCCAUUAAAGCAAAUGAGAGUGAUUGGUGAUUAUAAGGAGAACUUGCGAUUUUUCUGUUAAGCUAAUAGUAAUUGGUAUUUAUUGAGUUCUCACUAUCUGUUAAGCAUCUUACAUAUUAACUCACUUAAGCCUCCCAACAAUCUUGCAAAAUAGGUGUUAUUAUCCCUAUGUUACAGAUAAGAAAACUGAGGUUUAAUGAGAUUAAGUAACUUGCCAAAGUGCCGUAUACAGGGUUUAUAUUCAGAAUUGCGAUUGCAAAGCUCACGAUCUAUCUAAAGCAUGAAGUCAGAAUGUUGUGGUCAAUGUCACCAUAUUGCUACUUCUUCUGUACGCUUUGAUGUUUUUCUAUGGUAAACAAAUAGUUACUUUAUUUAAUUAUCCCAUAAAAACUUUAAUUUUCUGGUUAAAACACUUGAAUAAUAGAAUGUAUUUUCAUGAUAGAAAAUUGAAAAAAUUGGGCAACAGAGGUUUUCAGCAUUUUAGGCUUUUUUUUUUUUUUUUUGCCAGACUUUAAUGAGGUGUUCACUUUGGUCUGCAAGAAAUCUCAAAUUCUUGAGAAUAAUUAAAAGGGAGGUGGGAGAGCUUAAAGGUCAUCUACUGUAAUGUUCUUUUUCACAGAUGAGAUAAAUCCAUAUAGUUAGAGUGACUUAUGGAAGAUGACGCAUUUGAGUGUGGCGGAUCUAGGUCCAGAAACCAGGCCCUUCAGUCUAGUCUCAGAGGCUCUUGAACUACUCCACCCUGUUCAAGUAGAAACUCGAAUUUGAUCAAUGAAAACGUUCUAUCUGCGUGAUCAGGGAGCAUUGUACCUAGUAGAUGGCUUCAAUUCUGCACCUCUUUGGCUUCUCACCUCGAUGGGACAAAUAGCUAGCUGUGAACUAACAUCGUUAGAUCCAGAAAUUGUCAACAGUCCAUCCCCAAAGAACACGUAAUGGCCCAAGUUGUGUGUACAAUGUCUUCAAUGAUAUUCUUAAGUUAUUUGGAAUUCUCAGUUUACCCAAACAAAUCAGAUCUCCUAAAGAGCAUUUUCUUAAUCAACUUAGUGCACAGUAUGUAUUCAUAAGUGCUUCUGAUGACUAUUUAUACAUGAUUGUUUCAAUAGUUCUUAUGUUUUUGAAAAUAUCAAUAGUUAUUUGCUAUUUUAAUCCUCACUUAUCCAUGUAACUAACUCAAGAGUACUUCGGCAAUAAAAAGCUAGAGUUAAGGAAAUUUCACUUUUCUUUAUCAGCCCCUUUACAUUUGGUUGGCAUUUAGUAAUGCUUAAUAAAAUGGUCAGGUGGAUAACACAGAGGUUCCAAAUGCAAUUCUGUCUUGAAGGAGUCAAUUAAGCUGGGAUUGCUUAAGGACAAACAUCUAGAUGUUUGGAAGUACCUGAAUAUUUGACUGUUGUAAAUUUCCACUUAGGUAUCUGGCAUUGUCAGACUUAGACCUCCUUGUGGCUCAGCUCGUCCUUUUUUCAAAAUGAUGAUUAUUGGCCAUAUUUCACACAGUUCUCAUUAAGUGAUUUUUAAAUAAACAGGAUUUUUUAAAGAGUAGCCAAGCACAAAAUGUGACUUUGUUGACAUUUUAUGAGACUUUGUCAUAUGUCCCCCAAACCCCCAAUAAAAGCAAUGUUGCAUCAACUGUGAACUUGUGUUGAUUUCUUGAAAGAGCGUGCUCUCAUAAUUCGUUUUCACUAGUGUAUAUAAAAGCUAAUUUCAGGAUCCACGAGGAUCAAAUAAUCUAAAGUGGUGGGAAAAUUGAAAUUUAGAGACAAUUUCUAAACCAUCCCAUGUUGCCUUUGAGUAAAAGACACUAUAAUCUACCCAAGUCAGAAACCAAUGUGUGAUCCUUGUCUUUUCUCUUUCUACCUGACAUGGGCAGUCAACCAGGUAAAUCCUUUUGAUUUUUCCUUCUUUUUGUUUUCAAAUACGUCUCCUUUUCUCUAUCUUUUAUGUGACUAUGGUUAAGUCAGCCCUCAUUUCUCACCUAGACUACUGCAUCAUGCGUCAGAUUUCUCUUCCACACAGCCAAGUAGGAGCCAGAGAAAUCUGUCUAAACCACAAAUAUGAUCAUAUUAUUCCACAAUUUCAAACUUUUCAGUGGCCUCCCAUUGCCCUUUGAAUAUCAUGACACCUAAAACCCUUCGUAUCCUGAAUCCUGACCCUCAACACUCCUCUCUACACUCAUGAAGUACCUCUCUCCCACUGCUUUUUUUGGUUCUUGCCAUACAUCUUUGCCAUUUUUAAAUUUAAUUUUCUCUUUAUCUUCUGGACUUUCUCACAUACCUGACCUUCUGUUUAGUGUUCUCUCUACUACCCCUUCCAGAGUCCAUGUCUUGUCCUUCAGGUCUCGUCUUAGAAGUCAUUUCCUCUUAGAAGUCUUCACCCCAAGCAUCCACUUCCCCUAACUACUAGCUUCCCCACCUCGGUGCUCUCGUAGCAUUCUGUGUUUACCUCCUAUUGG
rnacentral:lncRNA from 1 species